rnacentral:rRNA from 1 species
UAGCAUAUCAAUAAGCGGAGGAAAAGAAACCAACAGGGAUUCCCUAGUAACGGCGAGUGAAGCGGCAACAGCUCAAAUUUGAAAUCUGGCGUCUUUGGCGUCCGAGUUGUAAUUUGCAGAGGGCGCUUUGGCAUUGGCAGCGGUCCAAGUUCCUUGGAACAGGACGUCACAGAGGGUGAGAAUCCCGUACGUGGUCGCUAGCCUUUACCGUGUAAAGCCCCUUCGACGAGUCGAGUUGUUUGGGAAUGCAGCUCUAAAUGGGAGGUAAAUUUCUUCUAAAGCUAAAUACUGGCCAGAGACCGAUAGCGCACAAGUAGAGUGAUCGAAAGAUGAAAAGCACUUUGGAAAGAGAGUUAAAAAGCACGUGAAAUUGUUGAAAGGGAAGCGCUUGCAGCCAGACUUGCCUGUAGUUGCUCAUCCGGGUUUCUACCCGGUGCACUCUUCUACGGGCAGGCCAGCAUCAGUUUGGGCGGUUGGAUAAAGGUCUCUGUCAUGUACCUCCUCUCGGGGAGAACUUAUAGGGGAGACGACAUGCAACCAGCCCGGACUGAGGUCCGCGCAUCUGCUAGGAUGCUGGCGUAAUGGCUGUAAGCGGCCCGUCUUGAAACACGGACCAAGGAGUCUAACAUCUAUGCGAGUGUUUGGGUGUCAAGCCCGAGCGCGUAAUGAAAGUGAACGGAGGUGGGAACCUUUCGGGGUGCACCAUCGACCGAUCCUGAUGUCUUCGGAUGGAUUUGAGUAAGAGCAUAGCUGUUGGGACCCGAAAGAUGGUGAACUAUGCUUGAAUAGGGUGAAGCCAGAGGAAACUCUGGUGGAGGCUCGCAGCGGUUCUGACGUGCAAAUCGAUCGUCAAAUUUGGGCAUAGGGGCGAAAGACUAAUCGAACUAUCUAGUAGCUGGUUCCUGCCGA